GACGAACGCUGGCGGCAGGCCUAACACAUGCAAGUCGAACGAGUGGCGGACGGGUGAGUAAUGUCUGGGAAACUGCCCGAUGGAGGGGGAUAACUACUGGAAACGGUAGCUAAUACCGCAUACAAUCGGAUGUGCCCAGAUGGGAUUAGCUAGUAGGUGGGGUAAGGGCUCACCUAGGCGACGAUCCCUAGCUGGUCUGAGAGGAUGACCCUCCCCACUGGAACUGAGACACGGUCCAGACUCCACCAAAACCCCCCCUUUUAUAAUAUUGCACAAUGUGAGGAAGCCUGAUCCAUCCAUGCCGCGUGUAUGAAGAAUUCCUUCGGGUUAUAAAGUACUUUCAGCGAGGAGGCGUUACUCGCAGAAGAAGCACCGGCUAACUCCGUGCCAGCAGCCGCGGUAAUUC
rnacentral:rRNA from 1 species